UCCCUGGUGGUCAAGUGGCUAAGACUCCACACUCCCAAUGCAGGGGCCCAGGUUUGAUCCCUGCUUAGGGAA
rnacentral:tRNA from 1 species